rfam:Gossypium hirsutum cultivar TM-1 chromosome 4, whole genome shotgun sequence
AUUCCAUUAUGAGGGCACUUUCAGAAUAACUCGUAUCUUUCCCAUGCCUCAUACAAGGAUUCAUCAUUCAUUUGUUGGAAGGCAGUGAUCUCAUUCGUCAACUU